AUUGAACGCUGGCGGCAUGCCUUACACAUGCAAGUCGAACGGCAGCACGGGGGGUAACCCCUGGUGGCGAGUGGCGAACGGGUGAGUAAUAUAUCGGAACGUGUCCUGUAGCGGGGGAUAACCUAUCGAAAGAUGGACUAAUACCGCAUACGACCUACGGGUGAAAGCGGAGGACCGCAAGGCUUCGCACUAUAGGAGCGGCCGAUAUCGGAUUAGCUAGUUGGCGGGGUAACGGCCCACCAAGGCGACGAUCCGUAGCUGGUCUGAGAGGACGAUCAGCCACACUGGAACUGAGACACGGUCCAGACUCCUACGGGAGGCAGCAGUGGGGAAUUUUGGACAAUGGGCGCAAGCCUGAUCCAGCCAUGCCGCGUGAGUGAAGAAGGCCUUCGGGUUGUAAAGCUCUUUCGGCGGGGACGAAACGUUUCGUGCUAAUACCACGGACUACUGACGGUACCCGCAGAAGAAGCACCGGCUAACUACGUG
rnacentral:rRNA from 1 species